GAUGAACGCUGGCGGGAGGCCUAAUACAUGCAAGUCGAGCGCAGGUUAAGCUGCGCGGCGAACGGCUGAGUAACACGUUGGUACCUGCCCCAAUCUCAGGGAUAACCACUGGAAACGGUGGAUAAUACCGGAUAGCCCGUAAGGGUAAAGAUUUAUCGGAUUGGGAGGGGCCUGCGGCGUAUCAGGUAGUUGGUGGGGUAAAAGCCCACCAAGCCAAUGACGCGUAUCUGGUGUGAGAGCAUGACCAGACAGAGUGGGACUGAGACACGGCCCACACUCCUACGGGAGGCAGCAGUAAGGAAUCUUCCACAAUGGGCGAAAGCCUGAUGGAGCCAUCCCGCGUGCCUGAUGACACCCCUCGGGGCGUAAAAGGCUUUUCUGAAGGAAGAAGUUCUGACGGUACUUCAGGAAUAAGUGACGGCUAACUCCG
rnacentral:rRNA from 1 species